rnacentral:pre_miRNA from 1 species
UGGACAGAUUAUUGUAUUCGACUGUAUUCACGGCAUGAAACAGGGGAUUACAUUGUUUUUAAACGGAAAGUGAAUCAAUUAACAUAAUAGACUCCU